rnacentral:rRNA from 1 species
GACGAACGCUGGCGGCGUGCUUAACACAUGCAAGUCGAACGAUGAAGCCGGAGCUUGCUCUGGUGAAUUAGUGGCGAACGGGUGAGUAACACGUGAGUAACCUGCCCUUGACUCUGGGAUAACUGCGGGAAACUGUAGCUAAUACCGGAUACGACCCUCGGAGGCAUCUCCUGGGGGUGGAAAGAAUUUCGGUCAAGGAUGGACUCGCGGCCUAUCAGCUAGUUGGUGAGGUAAAGGCUCACCAAGGCGCAGACGGGUAGCCGGCCUAAGAGGGUGACCGGGCAGACGGGGACUGAGACACGGCCCAGACUCCUACGGGAGGCAGCAGUGGGGAGUAUUGCACAAUGGGCGCAAGCCUGAUGCAGCAACGCCGCGUGAGGGAUGACGGCCUUCGGGUUGUAAACCUCUUUUAGCAGGGAAGAAGCGAAAGUGACGGUACCUGCAGAAAAAGCACCGGCUAACUACGUGCCAGCCGCCGCCGUAG